rnacentral:lncRNA from 1 species
GCCUUCGACAUUCCACACUCUGCUACAUAUCUGGAGUCACCCUGCUGCUUUUUCCCAGCGCGCCCUCUUCAGUGCCUGUGAAGUUCAAGCCCCAGGCUGGAGAAGCUUCUAGAUGGAUCCUUUCCAAAUUCGGUGUCUUUUCUACCAACGCUGUGCCUCACCCUCAGUCUCUAAGUGAGACGAAGCCAUUUAUUUGAAUCUGGGCAAUUACCCUCUAAAUGCUUAAUUCUUCAAACUGCGCAAGCGUCAUGCAUGACUAGAUGCUCCAUGUCACCACGGAGAACUUAGUCUGGAGCGGCACUACGCUUCAGCACCAGUCAGCAAAGUGAAUAAGUUCUGUGCCACUUCCAACUUCCAUUCCGCUCUGGGAAGAAAGAGCACCAUCAUGUCAAACAUCACGAUUGACCCCGAUGUCAAGCCUGGUGAAUACGUCAUCAAGAGUCUCUUUGCGGAGU